rnacentral:rRNA from 1 species
UACGUAGGUGGCACGCGUUGUCCGGAUUUACUGGGUGUAAAGGGCGUGCAGCCGGGCUGACAAGUCAGAUGUGAAAUCCCGCGGCUCAACCGCGGAACUGCAUUUGAAACUGUCAGUCUUGAGUACCGGAGAGGUCAUCGGAAUUCCUUGUGUAGCGGUGAAAUGCGUAGAUAUAAGGAAGAACACCAGUGGCGAAGGCGGAUGACUGGACGGCAACUGACGGUGAGGCGCGAAAGCGUGGGGAGCAAACAGG